CACUGAGUAACCUACUUGACCCUGCCCAUCUGUGAAUCAACCCAUCUAGCAAACCUGCUAUUCUUGGUGAGGCCAAGUCCUGCCAACAUGUUAUGUUUAUGAGGAGCCAGCCCAGCCUAGCAGUGUAUUGACAUGGAUCACUGGCAGUGAUUCAUUGUAAAGCACUCAGCACCAUGCCUGCCAUACAUUAAGUACCAUAGAAAGGUUUGUGAUGAUGAUGAUGAUGAUGAUGAUGAUGAUGAUGAUGCUUUGCCAUGCAGUGAAUUUCAUGAGAAUUCUCCAGAGAACAAAAGGAAAUUUAGUCUCCACCGUCCUAGAGUUUCAAGUUUUCAUGGCCAUGUGUUCCCUACAAGAGUGUUUCACUACCAAUAUCCACUUUACUUCUCGCCAUCCUAGCCUCUGUGUCUUCAUGAGAGAGUGCAAUUCCAGUUUGGAGAUAGGGCAGGGGAGGGCAAGUAUAAAACAGUAUACCUUGGAAUUACUCUUCUUGGUAUUUGCAGUUUAAAGCUAUCUUACUGUGAAAUAAAAGUUUUUCCUGGAUAAAGGAAUUUCA
ensembl:lncRNA